rnacentral:tmRNA from 1 species
GGGGACGUUCUGGAUUCGACAGGGGUUGGUUGAGCAUUUUAAGCGUGUCGGAGGUUUCGACUCCGUCAUCAACGAUAACAGUUAUAAUAACUGGCAAACAAAACAAUUUAGUAGCUGCUUAAUUCAGCUACAUCAUCUCUUAUGUAAUCCUACGGCAUAUUGAGAUGAUUCAAAUUUAGUAGGAUAUGCAUACUCUCUGCAGUCUGAAGGGUGUAUGAAGAACUUAAGCAGACUAGCUUAAAUUCAGGUUCGUUCGGUACCAGGAUUUUUGCGAAAUUUAAACUAGAACUACACACGUAGAAAGAAAUGUGGCAAGACCCUUGGACGCGGGUUCGACUCCCGCCGUCUCCA